rnacentral:rRNA from 1 species
AUUGAACGCUGGCGGCAGGCCUAACACAUGCAAGUCGAGCGGAUGAAGGGAGCUUGCUCCUGGAUUCAGCGGCGGACGGGUGAGUAAUGCCUAGGAAUCUGCCUGGUAGUGGGGGAUAACGUCCGGAAACGGGCGCUAAUACCGCAUACGUCCUGAGGGAGAAAGUGGGGGAUCUUCGGACCUCACGCUAUCAGAUGAGCCUAGGUCGGAUUAGCUAGUUGGUGGGGUAAAGGCCUACCAAGGCGACGAUCCGUAACUGGUCUGAGAGGAUGAUCAGUCACACUGGAGCUGAGACACGGUCCAGACUCCUACGGGAGGCAGCAGUGGGGAAUAUUGGACAAUGGGCGAAAGCCUGAUCCAGCCAUGCCGCGUGUGUGAAGAAGGUCUUCGGAUUGUAAAGCACUUUAAGUUGGGAGGAAGGGCAGUAAGUUAAUACCUUGCUGUUUUGACGUUACCAACAGAAUAAGCACCGGCUAACUGCGU